GAUGAACGCUAGCGGCAGGCUUAAUACAUGCAAGUCGAGGGGCAACAGGGGUAGCAAUACCUGCUGGCGACCGGCAAACGGGUGCGGAACACGUACAGAACCUUCCUUUAAGCGGGGGAUAGCCCGAAGAAAUUCGGAUUAAUACCCCAUAGUAAUAUUUGGUGGCAUCAUUAGAUAUUUAAAGAUUUAUCACUUAGAGAUGGCUGUGCGGCUGAUUAGGUAGUUGGUGUAGGAAAGGCUCACCAAGCCUGCGAUCAGUAACUGGUGUGAGAGCACGACCAGUCACACGGGCACUGAGACACGGGCCCGACUCCUACGGGAGGCAGCAAGUAAGGAAUAUUGGUCAAUGGACGCAAGUCUGAACCAGCCAUGCCGCGUGAAGGAUGAAGGUCCUCUGG
rnacentral:rRNA from 1 species